rnacentral:misc_RNA from 1 species
UACCUUACAGUUUGGAAGAAAAGUAACAAAUUUCGAUGAGACAACGAUACUCCUUUUGGAAAGCCUGGAUUCGUGAUACUUUGAUAUUUUUCCAAAACCUUGUCCAAGGUUAUUAUAUUUCCAUCAAGUGGCUUAUCGUCCAAUUCGAUUAAUUUCAUAUUCCAGCUUACAGUAGAUGCAAUUUUCGCCAAAAUAUUUUCAGUGCAUCGCGAUACAAACAACACCCGUGGCUGAUAAAUUUCCAGCAUGUGCCUAAAUUCUCCUACGUUAAAAAUUGCAUUAGAUAUGAUUAAAUAACGCAUAUGCUGCAUCGCGUAACUUAACUACUCCGAGUAACGAAGCGAUAGUUUUACAAAAGAUCUCGAAAUAUUCGAAAAGCCUUACAAAAGCUUUUUCCGAUAUCCGUCUCCGCAAGGAGAGGCUGAAACAACUUUUUUUGAAAUAACAUAUUUUUCCUAGAGUGUUUACUCUCGGAAGAUAUUCGGAGUAGUUAAAUAUAAUUUAAUUGUAUACGAUUAAAAAUUAGUAUUGUUUAUAUUUCUAAAAGAUGACGGAGUAACGAAUAUUGAGAAUAUAAGUAAUUAUUAAUUUCCGCGCCUAUAUACACAAUAUUUAACAAUUUAAUAUUGACAAUUAUUGUUUACACUACAUUAUAAAAAUUAGUAUUAGAGUAAGUAAUGUUUCUAGAAUUUUAUUGUUAAUUCUACAAAU